rnacentral:rRNA from 1 species
GGUAACUUAUUCUUAUAAUCAUUAAUAAUGGAUCAUAAUUCUAUUCAUCUAUAUUUAUUAUUUAAGAAGAGUUCAUCUUAUCUCCCCGUCACCCCAACUAAACAAUUCUAAAUCAAGUCUCACCUCCACCUAAAUAUACUUAUUAUUAUCAAUUGUUAAACUCUAUAGGGUCUUCUCGUCCUCCAAUUUCAUUUUAGCCUUUUAACUAAAAAGUUAAAUUUUAACUUAAUCUUCAUGAGACAGUCAACACCUCGUCCAACCAUUCAUUCCAGCCUCUAAUUAAGAGACUAAUGAUUAUGCUACCUUUGCACGGUCAAAAUACCGCGGCCCUUCAAUUUUCAGCGGGCAGGCUAGACCUCUUACAUUUACAAGAAGCGAUGUUUUUGAUAAACAGGCGAGCAUUAAUUUGCCGAAUUCCUUAUAAAGACCUUUCUAACCAACUAUACUUACACAUUACUAUACUAAUUUUACCAUUAUUGCCCAUUCCUUUUUAUUUCCAAUGACACUUUGAUAUAUAAAUUAAACCCUAUAAAAUUAAACUUAUAUCCAAUAAACUAUAACGUUAUUAUUCGAUGGCUGAUUUCAAGCCUACCCAUUUAAAAUCUAAACUCAUUAUAAUUCUACUUUUAAGCUUAUCCCUCAAAAUAUUAACAGCUAACCCCUAAGUCAAUUCACACUUAUCAACAUAGCAUUUCCAUCUGAAUUGAAUUCAUUUCUCAAAGAACUAGAAACCUUUAAAUUCGUCUAACAUCUCAUUUCUAAAAGAGUAUCGAUGAUAAAUUUACAACUUCAACCAAACUACUCCUUUAGCCCAUUUAAAAUCGAGAAAACAAAAUCCUUAACUUCAUUUAGUAAACCCUGAUACACAAGGUACAACAUUAAAUCUACUUUUCACUAAAUUCUUUUUCAACCUAUUUCAACUUUCCCUCUCAGUACUUACUUUAUCAUUCUCCCCGUAAUUUCUCUACCCAAUACUCAAACCCAAAACCUAAUAUUGAUUUACCUACCCAAUUUUAAUUACUCUAUCAUUCUCAAUUAAUACUCCCUCAAUCAAAAUAAAUUGAAUCACACAAUAACUUUUCAAUGUAAAUGAAAUGCUUUACUAGUCAAGCUCUA